GAUGAACGCUGGCGGCGUGCCUAAUACAUGCAAGUCGAGCGAACAGACGAGGAGCUUGCUCCUUCGGCGUUAGCGGCGGACGGGUGAGUAACACGUAGGUAACCUACCUAUAAGACUGGGAUAACUUCGGGAAACCGGAGCUAAUACCGGAUAAUAUUUCGAACCGCAUGGUUCGAUGGUGAAAGAUGGCUUUGCUAUCACUUAUAGAUGGACCUGCGCCGUAUUAGCUAGUUGGUAGGGUAACGGCUUACCAAGGCAACGAUACGUAGCCGACCUGAGAGGGGGUUCGGGCACACAGGAACUGAGAGACGGUCCAGACUCCGAGGGGAGGCAGCAGCAGGGAAGCGUCGGCAAAGGGCGAAAGCCUGACGGAGCAACGCCGCGUGAGUGAUGAAGGGCUGCGGAUCGUAAAACGCUGUUAUGAGGGAAGAACAAACGUGUAAGUAACGGUGCACGUCUUGACGUUACCGAAACAGAAAGCCACGGCGAAUUACGG
rnacentral:rRNA from 1 species